rnacentral:rRNA from 1 species
GUAGUCAUAUGCUUGUCUCAAAGAUUAAGCCAUGCAUGUCUAAGUAUAAGCAAUUAUACCGUGAAACUGCGAAUGGCUCAUUAAAUCAGUUAUCGUUUAUUUGAUAGUACCUUACUACUUGGAUAACCGUGGUAAUUCUAGAGCUAAUACAUGCUGAAAACCCCAACUUCGGGAGGGGUGUAUUUAUUAGAUAAAAAACCAAUGCCCUUCGGGGCUUCUUGGUGAUUCAUGAUAACUUCACGGAUCGCAUGGCCUUGCGCCGGCGACGGUUCAUUCAAAUUUCUGCCCUAUCAACUUUCGAUGGUAGGAUAGUGGCCUACCAUGGUUUCAACGGGUAACGGGGAAU